ACUCCUACGGGAGGCAGCAGUGGGGAAUAUUGCACAAUGGGCGCAAGCCUGAUGCAGCCAUGCCGCGUGUGUGAAGAAGGCCUUCGGGUUGUAAAGCACUUUCAGUCGUGAGGAAGGCGGAGUCGUUAAUAGCGGCCUCGUUUGACGUUAGCGACAGAAGAAGCACCGGCUAACUCCGUGCCAGCAGCCGCGGUAAUACGGAGGGUGCGAGCGUUAAUCGGAAUUACUGGGCGUAAAGCGCAUGCAGGUGGUUUGUUAAGUCAGAUGUGAAAGCCCGGGGCUCAACCUCGGAAUUGCAUUUGAAACUGGCAGACUAGAGUACUGUAGAGGGGGGUAGAAUUUCAGGUGUAGCGGUGAAAUGCGUAGAGAUCUGAAGGAAUACCGGUGGCGAAGGCGGCCCCCUGGGACAGAUACUGACACUCAGAUGCGAAAGCGUGGGGGAGCAAACAGGAUUAGAUA
rnacentral:rRNA from 1 species